GGUUAAGCGACUAAGCGUACACGGUGGAUGCCCUGGCAGUCAGAGGCGAUGAAGGACGUGCUAAUCUGCGAUAAGCGUCGGUAAGGUGAUAUGAACCGUUAUAACCGGCGAUUUCCGAAUGGGGAAACCCAGUGUGAUUCGUCACACUAUCAUUAACUGAAUCCAUAGGUUAAUGAGGCGAACCGGGGGAACUGAAACAUCUAAGUACCCCGAGGAAAAGAAAUCAACCGAGAUUCCCCCAGUAGCGGCGAGCGAACGGGGAGCAGCCCAGAGCCUGAAUCAGUGUGUGUGUUAGUGGAAGCGUCUGGAAAGGCGCGCGAUACAGGGUGACAGCCCCGUACACAAAAAUGCACAUGCUGUGAGCUCGAUGAGUAGGGCGGGACACGUGGUAUCCUGUCUGAAUAUGGGGGGACCAUCCUCCAAGGCUAAAUACUCCUGACUGACCGAUAGUGAACCAGUACCGUGAGGGAAAGGCGAAAAGAACCCCGGCGAGGGGAGUGAAAAAGAACCUGAAACCGUGUACGUACAAGCAGUGGGAGCCUCUUUAUGGGGUGACUGCGUACCUUUUGUAUAAUGGGUCAGCGACUUAUAUUCUGUAGCAAGGUUAACCGAAUAGGGGAGCCGAAGGGAAACCGAGUCUUAACUGGGCGUUAAGUUGCAGGGUAUAGACCCGAAACCCGGUGAUCUAGCCAUGGGCAGGUUGAAGGUUGGGUAACACUAACUGGAGGACCGAACCGACUAAUGUUGAAAAAUUAGCGGAUGACUUGUGGCUGGGGGUGAAAGGCCAAUCAAACCGGGAGAUAGCUGGUUCUCCCCGAAAGCUAUUUAGGUAGCGCCUCGUGAAUUCAUCUCCGGGGGUAGAGCACUGUUUCGGCAAGGGGGUCAUCCCGACUUACCAACCCGAUGCAAACUGCGAAUACCGGAGAAUGUUAUCACGGGAGACACACGGCGGGUGCUAACGUCCGUCGUGAAGAGGGAAACAACCCAGACCGCCAGCUAAGGUCCCAAAGUCAUGGUUAAGUGGGAAACGAUGUGGGAAGGCCCAGACAGCCAGGAUGUUGGCUUAGAAGCAGCCAUCAUUUAAAGAAAGCGUAAUAGCUCACUGGUCGAGUCGGCCUGCGCGGAAGAUGUAACGGGGCUAAACCAUGCACCGAAGCUGCGGCAGCGACGCUUAUGCGUUGUUGGGUAGGGGAGCGUUCUGUAAGCCUGCGAAGGUGUGCUGUGAGGCAUGCUGGAGGUAUCAGAAGUGCGAAUGCUGACAUAAGUAACGAUAAAGCGGGUGAAAAGCCCGCUCGCCGGAAGACCAAGGGUUCCUGUCCAACGUUAAUCGGGGCAGGGUGAGUCGACCCCUAAGGCGAGGCCGAAAGGCGUAGUCGAUGGGAAACAGGUUAAUAUUCCUGUACUUGGUGUUACUGCGAAGGGGGGACGGAGAAGGCUAUGUUGGCCGGGCGACGGUUGUCCCGGUUUAAGCGUGUAGGCUGGUUUUCCAGGCAAAUCCGGAAAAUCAAGGCUGAGGCGUGAUGACGAGGCACUACGGUGCUGAAGCAACAAAUGCCCUGCUUCCAGGAAAAGCCUCUAAGCAUCAGGUAACAUCAAAUCGUACCCCAAACCGACACAGGUGGUCAGGUAGAGAAUACCAAGGCGCUUGAGAGAACUCGGGUGAAGGAACUAGGCAAAAUGGUGCCGUAACUUCGGGAGAAGGCACGCUGAUAUGUAGGUGAAGCGACUUGCUCGUGGAGCUGAAAUCAGUCGAAGAUACCAGCUGGCUGCAACUGUUUAUUAAAAACACAGCACUGUGCAAACACGAAAGUGGACGUAUACGGUGUGACGCCUGCCCGGUGCCGGAAGGUUAAUUGAUGGGGUUAGCGGUAACGCGAAGCUCUUGAUCGAAGCCCCGGUAAACGGCGGCCGUAACUAUAACGGUCCUAAGGUAGCGAAAUUCCUUGUCGGGUAAGUUCCGACCUGCACGAAUGGCGUAAUGAUGGCCAGGCUGUCUCCACCCGAGACUCAGUGAAAUUGAACUCGCUGUGAAGAUGCAGUGUACCCGCGGCAAGACGGAAAGACCCCGUGAACCUUUACUAUAGCUUGACACUGAACAUUGAGCCUUGAUGUGUAGGAUAGGUGGGAGGCUUUGAAGUGUGGACGCCAGUCUGCAUGGAGCCGACCUUGAAAUACCACCCUUUAAUGUUUGAUGUUCUAACGUUGGCCCCUAAUCGGGGUUGCGGACAGUGUCUGGUGGGUAGUUUGACUGGGGCGGUCUCCUCCUAAAGAGUAACGGAGGAGCACGAAGGUUGGCUAAUCCUGGUCGGACAUCAGGAGGUUAGUGCAAUGGCAUAAGCCAGCUUGACUGCGAGCGUGACGGCGCGAGCAGGUGCGAAAGCAGGUCAUAGUGAUCCGGUGGUUCUGAAUGGAAGGGCCAUCGCUCAACGGAUAAAAGGUACUCCGGGGAUAACAGGCUGAUACCGCCCAAGAGUUCAUAUCGACGGCGGUGUUUGGCACCUCGAUGUCGGCUCAUCACAUCCUGGGGCUGAAGUAGGUCCCAAGGGUAUGGCUGUUCGCCAUUUAAAGUGGUACGCGAGCUGGGUUUAGAACGUCGUGAGACAGUUCGGUCCCUAUCUGCCGUGGGCGCUGGAGAACUGAGGGGGGCUGCUCCUAGUACGAGAGGACCGGAGUGGACGCAUCACUGGUGUUCGGGUUGUCAUGCCAAUGGCACUGCCCGGUAGCUAAAUGCGGAAGAGAUAAGUGCUGAAAGCAUCUAAGCACGAAACUUGCCCCGAGAUGAGUUCUCCCUGACUCCCUGAGAGUCCUGAAGGAACGUUGAAGACGACGACGUUGAUAGGCCGGGUGUGUAAGCGCAGCGAUGCGUUGAGCUAACCGGUACUAAUGAACCGUGAGGCUUAACCUU
rnacentral:rRNA from 1 species